rnacentral:lncRNA from 1 species
CUUACUCGAAAGAUUUGGUUGAGAAUUGAGGGAGAACGAGCGGUUGGAAGUUGUGACAAAACCGACUUGUUUUUGGACGGAAUCCGGCGACUACAGCGGCGGCUGGCAGCAGGGAGCGGUCGGGGCUUGAAGACGGAACCGAGCUGGUUCUAUUGGCGCCGACGGCAAGGGCAUAGGUGGUCGGUGGCGGAAGUUAUGGUGCUUGGAAGGUGACGGCUGAGGAAGGCAACGGGAGAGGGAGAGAGAGAGAGAGAGAGAGAGAGAGAAGCUGAGGUUUAUAUAUAAAAAAAAUCUGAUUUUUCUAAUUACCAUUUUGCCCCUCGUGAUCUUUUAAUCGUAUUUUCUUCGUUACAACUCCGAUUCGAGCUUACUUCGUGUCUAUGAACUCGUGUCGUCGUGCUCUACGCAACGGUGUAUGUGGAAUUGUCAAAUUCCUUUUCGGUCAAAAAGUCAACAUUGAGUUCAUAAGUGAGUCAAAUGGCAAAAUUGUCUUUCCGCAUAAUAAAUUACUAAUUACAUGUGAAUUUUAGGUUUGGGUCUUUACAACCUACCCCCCUUAUACAAAUUUCGUCCUCGAAAUUUACGCACCUGUCACUCGAAGAGGUGAAGGUACUGCUCCCGCAUUUGGUCUUCGGGUUCCCAUGUAGCCUCUUCUACAGUAUGACUCCUCCAUAAGACUUUCACAAGUGGAAUCUCUCUCGAUCGCAACACUUGCGUCUUCCAAUCCAAAAUCUGAACUGGUUGCUCCACAUAAGUGAAAUCAGCCUCCAAUUCUACUGGUUGCUCCUCUAACACAUGGGAAGGGUCGGAAAUAUACUUUCGGAGCAUGGAGAUAUGAAAAACAUCAUGCAAUCGAGCUAGAUCUGAAGGCAAAGUAAGUCUGUAAGCUACUGGACCCACACGCUCUAUAAUCUCAUAGGGUCCAAUAUAGCGAGGACUUAGUUUUCCCCGCUUCCCAAAUCUUACUACACCUUUCCAAGGUGAUAGUUUCAAAAAUACCCAGUCUCCAACUUCAAACUGAAGAUCUUUUCUUCGAUUGUCCGCAUAGCUCUUUUGUCGGUCCUGGGCUGUCUUGAGUCGUUCUCUAAUGAUUUGCACUUGUUUCUUGGUCAAUUCAACAUCCUCAGAUACGACCAAUCUGUGUUCACCCACUUCAUCCCAAUAGAAUGGAGUUCUGCACUGUCUCCCAUACAAAGCAUCAAAUGGAGACAUUCCGAUACUUACUUGAUAACUGUUAUUAUAUGCAAACUCCAUAAGUGGUAACUUCUCAUCCCAAUCACCCCGAAACUGAAGUGCACAGGCUCUCAACAUAUCUUCUAGUGUCUGAAUGGUCCUCUCAGACUGACCAUCUGUCUGGGGGUGAAAUGCAGUACUAAACUGCAAUUGGGUUCCAAAAGCUUCAUUUAACUUUGUCCAAAAUCGGGAUGUAAACCGUGGGUCACGAUCUGAAACAAUGGAUACUGGUACUCCAUGAAGUCUCACGAUCUCAUCUAUGAAAAGCUUAGCCAGUUUGUUCAAACUAUAAUUUGCUCUCACCGGCAGAAAAUGAGCGGACUUGGUGAGUCGAUCCACGAUGACCCAUACUCCGUCAUGCUUACUUUGUGUUCGGGGCAGCUUGAACACAAAAUCCAUCGUAAUCCGCUCCCACUUCCACUCAGGAAUUGGAAGUGGUUGCAAUAGCCCUGAUGGUUUCUGUCGCUCAGCUUUCACUUGCUGACAAAUUAAGCAUCUUCUGACAUACUCUGCUAUUUCUUUCUUCAUAAAAGGCCACCAGUAGUGCUCUCGCAGAGUAUGGUACAUUUUUGUGCUUCCAGGGUGCAUUGCAAACGCUGAUUCAUGGGCCUCCUCAAGAAUCUCCCUUUUUAAAGCUUCAUCAUUAGGGACAUAUAACCUGUUACCUACCAUUAACGCUCCAUCAUUUCUUACAGAACAAUCAGUUCUGUCGCCAUUUGCAACCUCUACUCGCAGUGUGCAAAUCAAAGGAUCCUGAGAUUGAGCUGCGAGUAUUCGUUCUACUAGCACUGGUCUCACAUGGAGAGUAGCUAACAGUGCUCCCUGAUUAUCCACAUCUAGCCCAACUCUGAGCUUCCUCAUUUCCACCAUCAAUGGUAAAUAUUUUCCUCGAAGAUAAGCUAUAGAUCCUGAAGAUUUUCUACUGAGUGCAUCAGCAACAACAUUAGCUCUUCCUGGGUGAUGCUCGAUGGUACAGUCAUAAUCUUUUAUCAACUCCAACCAUCUUCUUUGCCUCAAAUUUAAUUCCUUCUAGGUGAAUAAAUACGUCAAACUCUUGUGAUCUGUAAAGAUCUGGCAUGUUUCCCCAUAAAGAUAAUGCCGCCAAAUCUUUAAGGCAAACACUACUGCAGCAAGUUCCAAAUCAUGAACAGGAUAAUUCAGCUCAUGCUUCUUCAGUUGUCUAGAAGCAUAGGCGAUCACCCUACCAUGCUGCAUCAGCACACACCCAAGUCCUUGUUGAGACGCAUCACUGUAGAUCACGAAGUUCCCACUAUCAUCCGGAAGUGCUAAAACCGGAGCAGUGGUCAGCCUGGUCUUGAGUUCAAUGAAACUUUCUUCACACUUAUCUGACCACACAAACUUAACUCCUUUCCGUGUCAAAUAGGUGAGAGGUGCCGCUAUGGUGGAGAACCCUUCCACGAAGCGACGGUAAUACCCGGCUAACCCCAGAAAACUUCGUAUCUCGGUAACACUGGUUGGUCGUAGCCAAUUGACUACUGCUUCAAUCUUUUGAGGAUCAACAUAAAUGCCCUCUGCAGAGAUCACGUGUCCCAAGAAGCUCACUCUGUCUAACCAACAUUGACACUUGCUGAAUUUGGCAUACAGUUGUCUUCUUCUCAGAGUCCUCAACACAAGGUUUAAAUGCUUCAUAUGUGCCUUCUGACUCUUUGAAUACACCAGAAUGUCAUCUAUGAACACAAUCACAAAGCGAUCCAAGUAACGUCGAAACACUCUGUUCAUGAGGUCCAUAAAUGCAGCUGGCGCAUUUGUUAAUCCAAAUGGCAUCACCAGGAACUCAUAGUGCCCGUACCUCGUUCGAAACGCAGUUUUAGGCACAUCCUCUUCUCUAACCCGUAACUGAUGAUAUCCAGACCUCAGGUCAAUCUUAGAAAAGACCUUGGCACCCUUCAGCUGAUCAAACAAGUCAUCAAUGCGAGGCAAUGGAUAUCUAUUCCGCACUGUGAUCUUGUUCAGCUGUCUGUAAUCAACGCAUAACCUCAUGGUGCCAUCCUUUUUCUUAACAAAUAAAACUGGAGCACCCCAUGGAGAAAAACUGGGGCGGAUAAAACCCUUAUCUACCAGCUCCUGUAACUGCGUCUUUAACUCCCUCAACUCUGCUGGUGCCAUUCUGUAUGGUGCUUGCGAAAUAGGAUUUGUUCCUGGAGCGAGUUCAAUAACAAACUCAAUCUCCCGAUGAGGAGGUAAUCCAGGAAGAUCCUCAGGAAAUACAUCUGGAAAGUCCUGUAUGACUGGAAUAUCCUCCAAUCGCAGCCCAUUAUCUCUGGUAUCAAUGACAUGUGCUAUGUAUCCUGAGCACCCUUUUCGCAGCAACCGUUUUGCCGUCAUAGCUGAAAUGAGGCAAGAUGGAAGCACUCGGCGUUCGCCAUAAAAAGUUACUUCAGGUUGUCCGGGACUAUGGAAUACAACUUCUUUCCGGAAGCAAUCUACAGAGGCACGAUGUCUGGCUAACCAAUCCAUCCCUAAGAUGACAUCCAAGUCAACCAUGCCCAAGGGAAUUAAAUCUGCUUCUAAAAACACAUUUCCCACCAUCACUGUACUAUCGCGAUACACGAUACCUACCCUAAAAAUCUCUCAUGUAGGUACUGAGAUCGCCAGUUCAGUCUGCAGAGCCGAAAGUCGAACGUUGGCAUUAUGGGUAAAACUAGGUGUGACAAACGAGUGUGUAGCCCCAGGGUCAAUUAAAACUCUAGCAGGAAUGCCAAAGACCGGUAAAAUACCUGUAAUUACGUCAGGCGAUGCAUGUGCUUCCUGCUGGGACAUGCUAUAUACUCUGCCUGUGGCUCUGGAACGUCCACCACGUCCCCUCUGCUGACUACUGCCACGACUGGCAACACUGGUCUGGGCACCACCACUGGACGAAGCCUCCACAUACGGUGGUAUCUCCUGUGAUCGACCCUGCAUAACUGUCCCUGGAAUUGGCGCAUCACUGGUCUCUCUAGUCUGCAGGAACGGGCAAUCCUUCCGAAAAUGUCCAGGUUGUCCACAGUAAUAGCAUCCAGUAGUACCCUGCUGGCAAGGCCCAGAAUGGUACCUGCCACAUCUAGCGCAUUGGGGGCGACUCCUCCUACCAGAUCCUGAUAGUAACUGUCUUCCAGCACCUCUUGCACUACCCCCAGAGCGGUUUCCAGAACUGCUACUUUGGUUAGAACCUCCGCUGGAGCUAAAUCCAGGUCGGUAACCUCCAUAGCUGCGACCACUGGAUGAUCCCGAGCUGUAACUGCCCCUCUUAGAUGAUCCUUGGCUAGGACCACCUAUUUCAAACUGCUGCCUACGGAGUUCACCCCGUGGUCUGGCCAUCAUCUGGCUGCUUUCAAUCAGCGAGGCAGACAUCACCACAUCACCAAAAUUGGUCAAUCGCUGACUGAUCACAAUAUCUCUGAUAGAGGCCUUUAAUCCCAUAGUGAACAGCUGACACUUCUUACUUUCAUCCUCCACCAGUGGAAGACAAUACUUAGACAGGUCAUGAAACCUCUUCUCAUACUCUAAUACAGUCAUCAUCCCCUGUUCUAGCUGCAAAAACUCUUGCAUCUUCAAAUUCUGGUACGCUUGUGGGUAAUACUGACUGUCAAACGCAGCUCUGAAGACUUGCCAUGUAAUAGCUAAAGGAUCCCUGUAUCGCCUCUUGACUGAAUCCCACCAAUGUCUGGCAUUUUUGAUCAAGAAGAAGGUGGCCAAAGGAACCCUACUGUGCUGUGGAACAGCCAUGACUUCCAUGAUCCACUCCAUCUUUUCAAUCCACUCCUCAGCUACUGCUGGGGUACCAUCACCAUCAAAGUCAGUGGCCCCUAUCCUCUUCGCUUGAUCAGCAUAUCCCAGGGAGGGAUCUCUGGGCUGCCCAGUCCUGGCUAAAGCCUGCAUCAGCAACUCCAAGGUCUGCUGAAAGUGGGGAUCUCCCUGCAUAGGAGGCAUAGCAGGUACGGCUCCUGACGAACCUCCAACAACAGAUUGCUCUACCGGUUCAGGUACCGGUGCAGGAACAGGAACUUCCUCCUGCCCGAGCUGGGGAUCUUGUCCCCUCUGUCGGGACGACUGUCUAGUCCCUCUACGGACACCACCACGUUUAGGGCCCAUCUUUACUGUCACAAAAACAGAUGUUCAGGAAAACAAGGAUGCACAUAGUGCGAAGUCUACAGGAAAUUAAACCUAAUGCUCUGAUACCAAGUUGACAGGACCCGAUCCAAAUUCCACUUUGGAAUCCGAGCCAGACCCUGUGCGUGUCCGACACCUGGCGAAUGUCGGGCACAAAUGAUCUAUUUGCCCUUCUAUACAAACAUGCUAAAAAUAACAAGGUUGACUUCUACCGAAAAACCGGCAGAGUUUCCCUAGUAUCUGGCUCAAUACCAAAAUCUUACACCUGUCAAACAAGUAUAUAUGUACAACCAACUGCCAGCAUACAUAUAUAUAUUCCAACAGUUCAAAUCUCAGUCUAGGGCAAAACAUCAGAGCGACUACUAAAAAUUUACAAAAGAGUGAAUCUUUGUACAAAAUACAAAUCCUACAUCAAAGAAAGGCGCGGAAGAUGGGAAGUGGCCCGGUGGUGGAUUCCUGUGCACGUCUACUGCCUGGGGGCGCAAAACAACAAGAAGGGUGAGUGGACCCAAAAAAAACAAAGUUUAGAAAAUACUAGAUGAACAUACUAACCCCACUGUAAAAACAGUUAUACAAACUAGCUUAUUUUUUUUAUUUCUGAAAUCAAUGAAUGUAUAUAACUAUACAUUUGAAAACAGUUGAAAACUAUCACCUAGGUGUACCCCUAUUUCCGUCAAUUCCUUAUAUCCGUCAAUUCCUUGCAUCACCAUGGGUGGCGCAUACUCGCAGGUCUCAGUGACAAGAGGUCAGUCUGAGCCGCAACUCGCAGGAUUCAGGGAACCGUAGUCCGUCUUUAUCCGCAUUACUCGCUCCACACGAGUUCGAGUACCAAGGAACUCGUGGGGCAACUGUCAAGCAUGCUGACUAAACCGAAGGCAACAAAUAUAAUCCGAAGGCAACAUGUAAUAACUGGGUACAAGGUGGUUUAAGAAAAUAUAAAGUUUCUGAAGAAAAUCUUAUGAAUAAUUAACUUUCUGUAACCUUUAAAAUUUUGCUGCCAUUUAUCUGAUAAUUAACGAGAAUAUCUUUUCCUAUAUUCUUAAAAGGAAACUUCACUCGGCAGCAUGUAACAUAAAAUAUUUAACAGCAUAAAACAGCUUAUAACUGAAAUUGAACUGCUUAACUGAAACUGAACUGAUUAAAUUCAUUUAUAAAAACAAAGAGUCCACUCACUGAUAGUCUGAGCUCGCUGGACCUCUUGAAGGUCCCUCCUGCGGGUCAACUGGUGCCCGGGUGCCUGAUUCAAUGACCAUAAUAUUCUAUUAAUACAAUAUAGUAUUAAAUAAAAACAAAAACCCUACCCCCGGCUCCUAAAAGUACGUGCGUCAAUUUAAAGUGAUCCCUAUGCCCAUAACAGCUCUCCUUCCACGUGGGAUAGUUUAGCGAUAUCUUGGGACUCAAAAAGCGCUAAAGUCCAAAAAGUCAAUCCGGAACCCCACGGGUAUAAUAUGAUUCGGAUGCCGCUAAAAGGUCCAAUAUAUUUAGGACACAUGUCCCGAGGGUAUUGGUGUCAAUCGGACGGUCGGAUUAAUUACGAUCGUGUAAUCGCAUAAUUUCUAAACCCUAGCCCUAGGGUUCGCGAUUUCGGAGUAUCCGGGACUCCGAUUCGCAAUCCGUCGAAUCCUACACAAUCCUGAAAUCAUGUAGACCGACAUAUCCAAAAUUCAGUGUGAUCCACCGAUUUGACGACACUGCACCCAAGGAUCGCGCGAUAUGAAAAAUCCGUUCGGGGCUCAAACGAACUCCGAAUCGAGAUCCGCAAAAUCCUACGUGCUCGUGACGACACGAGGGUCACAAAACUGUACAACAUGACUUCACCACCCUCGCCCAUGCGCCCCAGCACGCGCGGGCAGAUUCGGGUGUCUUAAGCGAUUUCGGGUGGCCGAAAAAUCUCGGAACCAGGACUCCAAACUCCUAUCCUAGGUAAAACACUCCAUUUGGAGUCACUUUUGUUCUUGGACCUACCCCAAAAAGUGACUGGAAGUGGCCGAAAACAGAGGCCGAAAAUCGGCUGAAACUUCAAUUUAUAAACUGGGCAAUCUACGGCUAAAAUUGAUAAAAACCUAUCCAACCAUCAGCUAGAGCACGAAAAAUAGAUGAGAAUCCAUACCUUACUCGAAAGAUUUGGUUGAGAAUUGAGGGAGAACGAGCGGUUGGAAGUUGUGACAAAACCGACUCGUUUUUGGACGGAAUCCGGCGACUACAGCGGCGGCUGGCAGCAGGGAGCGGUCGGGGCUUGAAGAGGGAACCGAGCUGGUUCUAUUGUCGCCGACGGCAAGGGCAUAGGUGGUCGGUGGCGGAAGUUAUGGUGCUUGGAAGGUGACGGCUGAGGAAGGCAACGGGAGAGGGAGAGAGAGAGAGAGAGAGAGAGAGAGAGAGAGAAGCUGAGGUUUAUAUAAAAAAAAAAUCUGAUUUUUCUAAUUACCAUUUUGCCCCUCGUGAUCUUUUAAUCGUAUUUUCUUCGUUACAACUCCGAUUCGAGCUUACUUCGUGUCUAUGAACUCGUGUCGUCGUGCUCUACGCAACGGUGUAUGUGGAAUUGUCAAAUUCCUUUUCG